rnacentral:sRNA from 1 species
GCUGCCCCCAUCAAGAUGACCGGGGUGUGCCGGGGGGAAAGGGGCAGCAUGAUUGUCUGAGAUGGUGUAGCGUCGGACCAUGUGGAAGUUUCUGAGACUGGGGAGCCGGAUAAUGGGGGGUGGGGACCGUUGGGGGGUAAAGGGGCAAUAGCGUCCUUUCACAGGCUAACCUCGGCCCUUCCCAGUCCUCUGGACUAAAAUGGGGAACACAUUGGGCCUGGCACCAAUGGGGACUUUGCCCCGCCGGAGCCCCCGCCGAGAGGAACCCCUGCCCAACCCUGGGAGCUUCGAUGAGCUGCACCGGCUAUGCAAAGAUGUAUUCCCAGCACAGAUGGAGGGCGUGAAGCUCGUUGUCAACAAGGUUCUGAGCAGCCAUUUCCAGGUGGCUCACACUAUACACAUGAGUGCCCUGGGCUUGCCGGGAUAUCACCUCCAUGCGGCCUAUGCAGGGGAUUGGCAGCUCAGUCCCACUGAGACGCAGCAGGCCAAGUUCUUGACAUGGCAGUUUGAUGGCGAGUAUCGGGGAGAUGACUACACAGCCACUCUGACCCUAGGAAAUCCUGACCUGAUUGGGGAGUCGGUGAUCAUGGUUGCUCACUUCCUGCAGAGCCUCACUCAUCGGCUGGUGCUGGGAGGAGAGCUAGUUUAUCACCGGCGGCCAGGCGAAGA